GGCAAGAUGGCUGAAAUUGAAGGCGAUAAAUUGUAGCUUUGUUAAUGGAGUGUGUAUUUCUCUUGCUGG
rnacentral:tRNA from 1 species